rnacentral:rRNA from 1 species
UACGUAGGUGGCAAGCGUUGUUCGGAAUUAUUGGGCGUAAAGGGCGCGUAGGCGGUUUGUUAAGUCGGUCGUGAAAGCCCGGGGCUCAACCCCGGAGGGUCGACCGAUACUGGCAGACUAGAGUACAGAAGAGGUAGCUGGAAUUCCCGGUGUAGCGGUGAAAUGCGCAGAUAUCGGGAGGAACACCUGAGGCGAAGGCGGGCUACUGGGCUGAUACUGACGCUGAGGCGCGAAAGCUAGGGGAGCAAACGGG